UGUGACCAUACUGAGCACUUAAAUUGGGACUCCAAGGUGAUCUGAUCAUUAGGUACACCAUCUGGCUAGUAGAUGUACCACUAUGUAAUGAGAGAAAGUUAACGCAUAAUUAGGAUAUCCUGUCAGCUCCUGCAUCAGAGGAAAGUAGGUGCACUGACUUCAGGCAGUUGGCUGGGACAUUAAUGGGUGGAGGAGACCACAUAAUGGGAUGACUCUUCUGUUCACCUGUCUACAAAUGGAAUCAAGACCACCUGGCCUCCUGUAGUGCAGGGAAGACUGAAUUUCAAAAAAUAAAAGGGCAGGUCACUCUGGAGGACUGAAGAUGACCACGUAGCCUAAUAAUUUCUGCAGAUGUAGAAGUAGGUUGAAUGGUCUCUGGUGGCAGAGAAAAGCCUUCAGAAGAGUCUCAGAGGCUUGGCAUUGGAAGUUAUCAUGUAGAGGAUUAAAUGGGAAACUGUCACCACAUCCACGAGGAAGACGGCUUGUAAAGAGAAAUCCAAAGGAAAAGCAAUGAGAGUGGUAUAUGAGAGAGACCUUUUACAAAUGUAAUUGUGAAAAAUAUAUGGUAAGAUUAGACCUACCUUCUAACUUGCGG
rnacentral:lncRNA from 1 species